CAGAAAUCCAAGAAUGUGAUCUAUGGCAAGGAAACAUAUGUGGGGUGAGGUGUACGAGCCUCUGGUCGAUGAUCAAUGGCCACAGAACCCCCAUUUUGCCGAAAAUAGCCAUGAACGACCAUUUUCAAUAAUACCGAAGGCUAACACGUACGAGUUUUUGACCAAGAAAUGGUCUCCACCAAAAAUCCAAGAAUGUGAUCUAUGGCAAGGAAACAUAUGUGGGGUGAGAUUUAUGAGCCUCUAGUCGAUGAUAAAUGGCCACACAACCCCCAUUUUUUUAUGAAAAUAGCCAUGAGCGACCAUUUUCAAUAAUAUUAGAGGCUAAGACCUACGGAUUUUUGACCAAGAAAUGGUCUCCACCAGAAAUCCAAGAAUGUGAUCUAUGGCAAGGAAACAUAUGUGGGGUGAGGUGUAUGAGCCUCUGGUCGAUGAUCAAUGGCCACACAACCCCCAUUUUUGUCGAAAAUAGCCAUGAAUGACCAUUUACAAUAAUACCGAAGGCUAACACCUACGGAUUUUUUACCAAGAAAUGGUCUCCACCAGAAAUCCAAGAAUGUGAUCUAUGGCAAGGAAACAUAUGUGGGGUGAGGUGUAUGAGCCUCUGGUCGAUGAUCAAUGGCCACACAACCCCAUUUUUGUCAAAAUAGCCAUGAACGACCAUUUUCAAUAAUAUCGAAGGCUAACACCUACGGAUUUUUGACCAAGAAAUGGUCUCCACCAGAAAUCCAAGAAUGUGAUCUACGACAAGGAAACAUAUGUGGGGUGAGGUGUAUGAGCCUCUGGUCGACGAUCAAUGGCCACACAACCCCCAUUUUGCCGAAAAUAGCCAUGAAUGACCAUUUUCAAUAAUACCGAAGGCUAACACGUACGAGUUUUUAACCAAGAAAUGGUUUCCACCAGAAAUCCAAGAAUGUAAUCUAUGGCAAGGAAACAUAUGUGGGGUGAGGUUUAUGAGCCUCUAGUCGAUGAUAAAUGGCCACACAACCCCCAUUUUUUAUGAAAAUAGCCAUGAGCGACCUUGAAAAUAGCCAUGAGCGACCAUUUUCAAUAAUAUUAGAGGCUAAGACCUACGGAUUUUUGACCAAGAAAUGGUCUCCACCAGAAAUCCAAGAAUGUGAUCUAUGGCAAGGAAACAUAUGUGGGGUGAGGUGUAUGAGCCUCUGGUCGAUGAUCAAUGGCCACACAACCCCCAUUUUUGUCGAAAAUAGCCAUGAAUGACCAUUUACAAUAAUACCGAAGGCUAACACCUACGGAUUUUUGACCAAGAAAUGGUCUCCACCAGAAAUCCAAGAAUGUGAUCUAUGGCAAGGAAACAUAUGUGGGGUGAGGUGUAUGAGCCUCUGGUCGAUAAUCAAUGGCCACACAACCCCCAUUUUUGUCGAAAAUAGCCAUGAACGACCAUUUUCAAUAAUAUCGAAGGCUAACACCUAUGGAUUUUUGACCAAGAAAUGGUCUCCACCAGAAAUCCAAGAAUGUGAUCUACGACAAGGAAACAUAUGUGGGGUGAGGUGUAUGAGCCUCUGGUCGACGAUCAAUGGCCACACAACCCCCAUUUUGCCGAAAAUAGCCAUGAAUGACCAUUUUCAAUAAUACCGAAGGCUAACACGUACGAGUUUUUAACCAAGAAAUGGUUUCCACCAGAAAUCCAAGAAUGUAAUCUAUGGCAAGGAAACAUAUGUGGGGUGAGGUUUAUGAGCCUCUAGUCGAUGAUAAAUGGCCACACAACCCCCAUUUUUUAUGAAAAUAGCCAUGAGCGACCUUGAAAAUAGCCAUGAGCGACCAUUUUCAAUAAUACUAGAGGCUAACACCUACGGAUUUUAGACCAAGAAAUGGUCUCCACCAGAAAUCCAAGAAUGUGAUCUAUGGCAAGGAAACAUAUGUGGGGUGAGGUGUAUGAGCGUCUGGUCGAUGAUCAAUGGCCACACAACCCCCAUUUUUGUCGAAAAUAGCCAUGAACGACCAUUUUCAAUAAUACCGAAGGCUAACACCUACGGAAUUUUGACCAAGAAAUGGUCUCCACCAGAAAUCCAAGAAUGUGAUCUAUGGCAAGGAAACAUAUGUGGGGUGAGGUGUAUGAGCCUCUGGUCGACGAUCAAUGGCCACACAACCCCCAUUUUUUAUGAAAAUAGCCAUGAGCGACCUUGAAAAUAGCCAUGAGCGACCAUUUUCAAUAAUACUAGAGGCUAACACCUACGGAUUUUAGACCAAGAAAUGGUCUCCACCAGAAAUCCAAGAAUGUGAUCUAUGGCAAGGAAACAUAUGUGGGGUGAGGUGUAUGAGCGUCUGGUCGAUGAUCAAUGGCCACACAACCCCCAUUUUUGUCGAAAAUAGCCAUGAACGACCAUUUUCAAUAAUACCGAAGGCUAACACCUACGGAUUUUUGACCAAGAAAUGGUCUCCACCAGAAAUCCAAGAAUGUGAUCUAUGGCAAGGAAACAUAUGUGGGGUGAGGUGUAUGAGCCUCUGGUCGAUGAUCAAUGGCCACACAACCCCCAUUUUUGUCGAAAAUAGCCAUGAACGACCAUUUUCAAUAAUAUCGAAGGCUAACACCUACGGAUUUUUGACCAAGAAAUGGUCUCCACCAGAAAUCCAAGAAUGUGAUCUACGACAAGGAAACAUAUGUGGGGUGAGGUGUAUGAGCCUCUGGUCGACGAUCAAUGGCCACACAACCCCCAUUUUGCCGAAAAUAGCCAUGAAUGACCAUUUUCAAUAAUAUCGAAGGCUAACACCUACGGAUUUUUGACCAAGAAAUGGUCUCCACCAGAAAUCCAAGAAUGUGAUCUACGACAAGGAAACAUAUGUGGGGUGAGGUGUAUGAGCCUCUGGUCGAUGAUCAAUGGCCACACAACCCCCAUUUUGCCGAAAAUAGCCAUGAAUGACCAUUUUCAAUAAUACCGAAGGCUAACACGUACGAGUUUUUAACCAAGAAAUGGUUUCCACCAGAAAUCCAAGAAUGUAAUCUAUGGCAAGGAAACAUAUGUGGGGUGAGGUUUAUGAGCCUCUAGUCGAUGAUAAAUGGCCACACAACCCCCAUUUUUUAUGAAAAUAGCCAUGAGCGACCUUGAAAAUAGCCAUGAGCGACCAUUUUCAAUAAUACUAGAGGCUAACACCUACGGAUUUUAGACCAAGAAAUGGUCUCCACCAGAAAUCCAAGAAUGUGAUCUAUGGCAAGGAAACAUAUGUGGGGUGAGGUGUAUGAGCGUCUGGUCGAUGAUCAAUGGCCACACAACCCCCAUUUUUGUCGAAAAUAGCCAUGAACGACCAUUUUCAAUAAUACCGAAGGCUAACACCUACGGAUUUUUGACCAAGAAAUGGUCUCCACCAGAAAUCCAAGAAUGUGAUCUAUGGCAAGGAAACAUAUGUGGGGUGAGGUGUAUGAGCCUCUGGUCGAUGAUCAAUGGCCACACAACCUCCAUUUUUGUCGAAAAUAGCCAUGAACGACCAUUUUCAAUAAUAUCGAAGGCUAACACCUACUGAUUUUUGACCAAGAAAUGGUCUCCACCAGAAAUCCAAGAAUGUGAUCUACGACAAGGAAACAUAUGUGGGGUGAGGUGUAUGAGCCUCUGGUCGACGAUCAAUGGCCACACAACCCCCAUUUUGCCGAAAAUAGCCAUGAAUGACCAUUUUCAAUAAUAUCGAAGGCUAACACCUACGGAUUUUUGACCAAGAAAUGGUCUCCACCAGAAAUCCAAGAAUGUGAUCUACGACAAGGAAAC
rnacentral:lncRNA from 1 species